ensembl:lncRNA
UAGAGUGUAGAGGAGGCAGGUUGCCUAGUGGUUAGAGUGUAGAGGAGGCAGGUAGCCUAGUGGUUAGAGUGUAGAGGUGGCAGGGUAGCCUAGUGGUUAGAGUGUAGAGGAGGCAGGUAGCCUAGUGGUUAGAGUGUAGAGGCGGUAGGUAGCCUAGUGGUUAGAGUGUAGAGGAGGCAGGUAGCCUAGUGGUUAGAGUGUAGAGGUGGCAGGGUAGCCUAGUGGUUAGAGUGUAGAGGUGGCAGGGUAGCCUAGUGGUUAGAGUGUAGAGGAGGCAGGUAGCCUAGUGGUUAGAGUGUAGAGGUGGCAGGGUAGCCUAGUGGUUAGAGUGUAGAGGAGGCAGGGUAGCCUAGUGGUUAGAGUGUAGAGGAGGCAGGGUAGCCUAGUGGUUAGAGUGUAGAGGAGGCAGGUAGCCUAGUGGUUAGAGUGUAGAGGAGGCAGGUAGCCUAGUGGUUAGAGUGUAGGGGCGGCAUGUAGCCUAGUGGUUA